UUUCCGGUUGAUCCUGCCGGAGGCCACUGCUAUCGGAGUUCGAUUAAGCCAUGCGAGUCGAGAGGGUUCAGACCCUCGGCGGACUGCUCAGUAACACGUGGAUAACCUGCCCUAAGGUGGAGCAUAACCCCGGGAAACUGGGGAUAAUACUCCAUAGAUUAGAGACACUGGAAUGUUCUUUAGUCGAAAGUUCUGGCGCCUUAGGAUGGAUCUGCGGUCGAUUAGGUUGUUGUUGGGGUAACGGCCCAACAAGCCUGUAAUCGAUACGGGUUGUGGGAGCAAGAGCCCGGAGAUGGAAUCUGAGACACGAUUCCAGGCCCUACGGGGCGCAGCAGGCGCGAAAACUUUACAAUGCAGGAAACUGUGAUAAGGGAACUCCGAGUGCCCGUAUACGCGGGCUGUCCAGGUGUUUAAAAAUCAUCUGAAGAAAGGGCCGGGCAAGACCGGUGCCAGCCGCCGCGGUAAUACCGGCGGCUCGAGUGGUGGCCACUAUUAUUGGGCUUAAAGCGUCCGUAGCUGGACCGAUAAGUCUCUUGGGAAAUCCGCCGGCUCAACCGGCGGGCGUCUAAGGGAUACUGUUAGUCUAGGGACCGGGAGAGGUGAGGGGUACUCCGGGGGUAGGAGUGAAAUCCUGUAAUCCCCGGGGGACCACCGAUGGCGAAGGCAUCUCACCAGAACGGCUCCGACAGUGAGGGACGAAAGCUGGGGGAGCGAACCGGA
rnacentral:rRNA from 1 species